CACAUCCUCCAGACGACUUCGGAUCCUGCUGUUGAGGAGCCAGGAAACGCCCUGACACUGUUGCGGCCCUGUCCACAUCUCUAAGAUGGGGAUGGAUGAUAGUACUUCUGGCCAUUCCUGAGCACAGCAGGACCUGCCUUUUCCCUUUGACUGGAAGGUUCUUCUCUACAUCUUCAGUCUUGAUAACCUGCCACCUCCACAGGGAGGUCUUCCCUGGCUCCCAAUUUAAAAUUGCAGCUCUGAGAAGCCGGGCAUGGUGGCAUAUGCCUGUAGUCCCAGCUACGGGGGAGGCUGAGGUGGGAGGAUCGCUUGAGCCCAGGAGUUGGAGGCUGAAGUGAGCUAUGAUCACUCCAUUGCACUCCAGCCUGGGGGAAACAGCAAGACCCUGUCUCUAAAAAAAUAAAAUACAAUAAAAUUG
ensembl:lncRNA novel transcript